rnacentral:rRNA from 1 species
UACAGAGGGUGCAAGCGUUGCUCGGAAUCAUUGGGCGUAAAGGGUAGGUAGGUGGUCUCAUUUGUCGGGGGUGAAAGCCUUGGGCUUAACCCAAGAAGUGCCCCUGAAACGGUGAGACUCGAGUAUUGGAGAGGCAAGUGGAAUUCCCGGUGUAGCGGUGAAAUGCGUAGAGAUCGGGAGGAACACCAGAGGCGAAGGCGGCUUGCUGGACAAUUACUGACACUCAACUACGAAAGCGUGGGGAGCAAACAGG